GAGUAAUGUCUGGGAAACUGCCUGAUGGAGGGGGAUAACUACUGGAAACGGUGGCUAAUACCGCAUAACGUCGCAAGACCAAAGAGGGGGACCUUCGGGCCUCUUGCCAUCAGAUGUGCCCAGAUGGGAUUAGCUUGUUGGUGAGGUAACGGCUCACCAAGGCGACGAUCCCUAGCUGGUCUGAGAGGAUGACCAGCCACACUGGAACUGAGACACGGUCCAGACUCCUACGGGAGGCAGCAGUGGGGAAUAUUGCACAAUGGGCGCAAGCCUGAUGCAGCCAUGCCGCGUGUAUGAAGAAGGCCUUCGGGUUGUAAAGUACUUUCAGCGGGGAGGAAGGUGUUGUGGUUAAUAACCGCAGCAAUUGACGUUACCCGCAGAAGAAGCACCGGCUAACUCCGUGCCAGCAGCCGCGGUAAUACGGAGGGUGCAAGCGUUAAUCGGAAUUACUGGGCGUAAAGCGCACGCAGGCGGUCUGUCAAGUCGGAUGUGAAAUCCCCGGGCUCAACCUGGGAACUGCAUUCGAAACUGGCAGGCUUGAGUCUUGUAGAGGGGGGUAGAAUUCCAGGUGUAGCGGUGAAAUGCGUAGAGAUCUGGAGGAAUACCGGUGGCGAAGGCGGCCCCCUGGACAAAGACUGACGCUCAGGUGCGAAAGCGUGGGGAGCAAACAGGAUUAGAUACCCUGGUAGUCCACGCCGUAAACGAUGUCUACUUGGAGGUUGUGCCCUUGAGGCGUGGCUUCCGGAGCUAACGCGUUAAGUAGACCGCCUGGGGAGUACGGCCGCAAGGUUAAAACUCAAAUGAAUUGACGGGGGCCCGCACAAGCGGUGGAGCAUGUGGUUUAAUUCGAUGCAACGCGAAGAACCUUACCUGGUCUUGACAUCCACAGAAGAAUCCAGAGAUGGAUUUGUGCCUUCGGGAACUGUGAGACAGGUGCUGCAUGGCUGUCGUCAGCUCGUGUUGUGAAAUGUUGGGUUAAGUCCCGCAACGAGCGCAACCCUUAUCCUUUGUUGCCAGCGGUCCGG
rnacentral:rRNA from 1 species